ensembl:lncRNA
AGCAACCACUUCUAUCAGAAUGUCCCUCAGAUCCUCCCAUCUCUUCCAAGCCACUCCUUCCAGACCUGUGUUUGGGCCCCACGCUAGUAGUAGUCAUACGGCUGUGAAAAGAACCGUAACAUUGGGAAGAAGGGGGCAGUCAGCCCAUCUGUAACCCUGGAGGUUUCAGGCCACAGGACUGAGCUGGUCUCAGGUCAGCAGUGUACAGAGUUCCUCCCAGCUUACCAGCAGAGACUGACUUGUGGCAGCAGUGGGACGGAUUUUUGACAGCACCUGGGUAAUGAGGCCUUCAGCCUUCCCUUAAGCCUCAAAGCCCCUUAAACUCUCUGAUUGCUGCAGACUGAGGGAGCUCCGAAGCUUCACAGCAUAGGAGAGGCAAGGAGGAGGCCAGAAGACAAGAGUAGAAAUGGAAGCUGGACUGAAACCAUCUGCAGCCUUGAGCGUGGAGAUGGGACCCAGACUCCAACUGAUUACCUACAGGAGAGGUCUACCGGCCCUCUGAGCAUAUCCAUGGCCUCUCCUCUGGAUUCACUCCAACAGCUCUAUGUCUUGUGAUGAUGGCCCAGACCUGGGCACAGUACUCCAGAUUGGACCACAGGAGGGCAGAGCAGAGGGGGACAACCCUCUGCCGCUCCUGUGUCGAUGCAGCCCAAGUUGCUGUUGGCCCUCCAGGCUGCAAGUGCACACUACUGGCUCAUGUCCAGCUUUUCAUCCAUCAGGAUGCCCAACUCUGCAGGGCUGCUCUCAAUGAACUCUUCUCCCUUUCUACACUCAUAUCUGGGAUUGCCCUGACUCAAGUGCUGCAACACCUUGCACUUGCUUUGCUAAGAGGUAAAGACUUUACAGAGCAAUUUGUCAUAGAAAAUAUCUUGGAUCACGUGCCCUCAAGGCAUCUCCAUUUAAAUCAAAAAGAAGUUAGCUCGACAUUAACAUUUCAGAGGGGGAUUUUAGAGAAAUAAAGGGAAUUAUUCAGAGAAAUCAACUGAACUUAGAACAAUAUGGAUCAUAUAUCCCAGGCAAGAGAGGAAAGCUCUCAGGGGAAAGGCUAAUGCCUUAAUUGGAUGAAGAAUUACCACAAAAAGAAAAUUAGGAAUAACCACAAGCCUGCAGUGGAUGGAAAAAGGAAUUAACCAGCAAAGAGAAUUUGAUGUUAGAGGUCAGGAAGUGUAGGGGUAACAUGAGAAUCGCCAAAGUCAAGCUGCGUUCGAUCUUGCAAAGGAAAUUAAAACAACUAGUAAAAUGUUCAUGAGUCACAAAUGAGAAGAGAACAAAGAAAUGUGGUUUCUGUGUGCCCAGGAUGUGGUGAAGCUUAAAGAUACUGAACUCCAUCCCUCAAAUUAGGUGCCUGUUUUGUGUCAGGCUUUGGGAAGAAAAAGGAUCCUGAAUCCCAGGACAAAGUGAAGAUGGAUGAGGGACAUCAGGAUAUGGAAAUGACCACAUCUGAAGGGAAUGAAAAUCUGAACGAGCUAAGUGCAUACAAACUGAAAGAACUGGACCAGCUCCACCCCAGAGACAGGGAAGAGUCAGGCUAUCAAGUUUUAAGUCCA